rnacentral:rRNA from 1 species
UACGAAGGGGGCUAGCGUUGCUCGGAAUCACUGGGCGUAAAGGGUGCGUAGGCGGGUCUUUUAAGUCAGGGGUGAAAUCCUGGAGCUCAACUCCAGAACUGCCUUUGAUACUGAAGAUCUUGAGUUCGGGAGAGGUGAGUGGAACUGCGAGUGUAGAGGUGAAAUUCGUAGAUAUUCGCAAGAACACCAGUGGCGAAAGGCGGCUCACUGGCC